rnacentral:tRNA from 1 species
GAGGUUAUAGCUCCAGUGGUAGAGCACAUGUUUAGCAUACAUAAGGUCCUGGGUUCAAGCCCCAGUGCCUCU